rnacentral:rRNA from 1 species
AUGCUAGAAUCCCGAGGAGACUAUGGCCGGUGGUGGAGAUUAUUUUGUAUGCUGACGGUGGCGGCUACACGGCGGAGGCCUGCACACUCGACUUCGACAUUGCCAUCUUCAACAAGAAGGUCUCCUUCGCCGGCCAAGAUCAGUAUAUGGUGGCGGGCGGGCGGAACCUUUUCCCACUGCUCCCGGAGGCGUCAAGGGCGUCAAGCCCUCCGCCGUGAUCGGAUGGGGCUCCCAGGUUCAUUUCCAGCUUUGCUUUGCUUCCUCACUGUGCAGUUUCUCUCCUAUCUGUCCAGAUUUGCUAUGCCUCUCUCUACUGUUAUUCUACUGAAUAUUGUUCUUGGAGCAUCAAAGCAAAUUGCUUGA